rnacentral:rRNA from 1 species
CCUACGGGUGGCAGCAGUGAGGAAUAUUGGUCAAUGGCCGGACGCCUGAACCAGCCAAGCCGCGUGAGGGACGAAUGUGCCAAGCAUUGUAAACCUCUUUUGUCAGGGAACAAAUUCAGGCACGAGUGCCUGGCUGAAGGUACUUGAAGAAAAAGCAUCGGCUAACUCCGUGCCAGCAGCCGCGGUAAUACGGAGGAUGCGAGCGUUAUCCGGAUUUAUUGGGUUUAAAGGGUGCGUAGGCGGACUGUUAAGUCAGCGGUAAAAGCCCGGGGCUCAACCCCGGCCCGCCGUUGAAACUGGCUGUAGUGAGAUGGCGAGAGGUAUGCGGAAUGCGCGGUGUAGCGGUGAAAUGCAUAGAGAUCGCGCAGAACUCCGAUUGCGAAGGCAGCAUACCGGCGCCGAACUGACGCUGAGGCACGAAAGCGUGGGUAUCGAACAGGAUUAGAUACCCUAGUAGUC